AACGCACGAGACCUGCGGACCUGCGGAAGGAUCAUUAAUGAGUUGCAAAACUCCCUAAACCAUUGUGAACCUACCUGUACCGUUCCUUCGGCGGGCGGCGUCAAGCCCUAACCCGUCUCCCUUUACGGGGGAUGGACCCGCCGGAGGCUCCUAAACUCUUAACUUUUGUUGGCAUCUCUGAGUAAAUCAAAAUAAGUCAAAACUUUUAGCAACGGAUCUCU
rnacentral:misc_RNA from 1 species